AUGAUCUGGAAGGCUCGUAUUCCCCCUAAGAUUAAAAUCUUCCUGUGGCAAGCCUUCCGAGGUCGGUUGCCCUCGGCUGAUCAAAUUCGUAAGAGAAAUGGACCGGGCUCUCAGUUAUGUGCCCUUUGCGGCGAUGUGGAAAACACAGAGCAUAUUUUUUUCCAUUGCCACCUGGCUAAGCUCAUUUGGAGCUGUGUGCGUGACUGGCUCCGUGUUUCUUGGGCCCCUGCCUCCUUUGCCGAGCUGCGUAACUUGGCAAUCAACCUCUCAGGCGUCUCCAUGCGCAUCUUUUGGGUGGGCUUGGGUGCUUUAUGUUGGUCCCUGUGGACGGCUAGGAACAAAUUUACUAUCGAGCACGUGUUUCCGGCUAAACCUGCUGACUGCUUAUUUAAAUCGUGUGCUUUCCUGCAGCAGUGGAAAUCAUUGACUAAGGUCGACGACCAAGAGGCGCUCUCUAUGCUGAUCUACAAAAUCCGGGCUACGGCGUCUCAGUUAUGCAGCCAAGAGCAGGAUGCUUAG
rnacentral:rRNA from 1 species